AAGUCGAACGAUGAACCACUUCGGUGGGGAUUAGUGGCGAACGGGUGAGUAACACGUGGGCAAUCUGCCCUUCACUCUGGGACAAGCCCUGGAAACGGGGUCUAAUACCGGAUACCACUACCGCAGGCAUCUGUGGUGGUUGAAAGCUCCGGCGGUGAAGGAUGAGCCCGCGGCCUAUCAGCUUGUUGGUGAGGUAAUGGCUCACCAAGGCGACGACGGGUAGCCGGCCUGAGAGGGCGACCGGCCACACUGGGACUGAGACACGGCCCAGACUCCUACGGGAGGCAGCAGUGGGGAAUAUUGCACAAUGGGCGAAAGCCUGAUGCAGCGACGCCGCGUGAGGGAUGACGGCCUUCGGGUUGUAAACCUCUUUCAGCAGGGAAGAAGCGAAAGUGACGGUACCUGCAGAAGAAGCGCCGGCUAACUACGUGCCAGCAGCCGCGGUAAUACGUAGGGCGCAAGCGUUGUCCGGAAUUAUUGGGCGUAAAGAGCUCGUAGGCGGCUUGUCACGUCGGGUGUGAAAGCCCGGGGCUUAACCCCGGGUCUGCAUUCGAUACGGGCUAGCUAGAGUGUGGUAGGGGAGAUCGGAAUUCCUGGUGUAGCGGUGAAAUGCGCAGAUAUCAGGAGGAACACCGGUGGCGAAGGCGGAUCUCUGGGCCAUUACUGACGCUGAGGAGCGAAAGCGUGGGGAGCGAACAGGAUUAGAUACCCUGGUAGUCCACGCCGUAAACGGUGGGAACUAGGUGUUGGCGACAUUCCACGUCGUCGGUGCCGCAGCUAACG
rnacentral:rRNA from 1 species